CAGCAGCCGCGGGAAUACGUAGGGUGCAAGCGUUAAUCGGAAUUACUGGGCGUAAAGCGUGCGCAGGCGGUGAGUUAAGUCUGCUGUGAAAUCCCCGGGCUCAACCUGGGAAUGGCAGUGGAUACUGGCUCGCUAGAGUGUGUCAGAGGAUGGUGGAAUUCCCGGUGUAGCGGUAAAAUGCGUAGAGAUCGGGAGGAACAUCAGUGGCGAAGGCGGCCAUCUGGGACAACACUGACGCUGAGGCACGAAAGCGUGGGGAGCAAACAGGAUUAGAGACCCCUGUAGUCCCUGUCUCUUAUAC
rnacentral:rRNA from 1 species